AGAUGGGAAAGGCAGCACCAAGGAAGUUGACUCAGAUUAUAGUGAAACACUAGGAUUUAAAUGAGGGAGCACAGACCUUGAAGCUAACUGUUUCUUCACUCCUGUCUAAUGCAGCAAAAGCAAGAUAUCAUACCUCAGACUGGUAAGCAAGAACUACCUACACUUUGCAUCCUACUGGGAGAAGGUAGUGUCUA